rnacentral:rRNA from 1 species
GCACAAGCGGUGGAGUAUGUGGUUUUAAUUCGAUGCAACGCGAAGAACCUUACCUGGUCUUGACACUCCCGGACGACCCGUUAAGGAAACUAGGGGGUGCUUCCAUCUGGAAGAAUCUGGAGACAGGUGCUGCAUGGCUGUCGUCAGCUCGUGUCGUGAGAUGUUGGGUUAAGUCCCGCAACGAGCGCAACCCUGCAUUCAGUUGCCAUCGGUAAGGCCGGGCACUCUGGAUGGACUGCCGGCGACAAGCCGGAGGAAGGUGGGGACGACGUCAAGUCAUCAUGGCCCUUAUGUCCAGGGCGACACACGUGCUACAAUGGCCGGCACAACGGGAAGCGAGUUCGCGAGGACGAGCGGAUCCCUCAAAGCCGGUCGCAGUUCGGAUUGAAGUCUGCAACUCGACUUCAUGAAGCUGGAAUCGCUAGUAAUCGUGGAUCAGCCAAGCCGCGGUGAAUACGUUCCCGGGCCUU